UGCAGGCCACCUCUCCUCUGACGGGAA
rnacentral:piRNA from 1 species